rnacentral:rRNA from 1 species
UUCUUUCCUCCCGAGUGCUUGCACUCAAUUGGAAAGAGGAGUGGCGGACGGGUGAGUAACACGUGGGUAACCUACCCAUCAGAGGGGGAUAACACUUGGAAACAGGUGCUAAUACCGCAUAACAGUUUAUGCCGCAUGGCAUAAGAGUGAAAGGCGCUUUCGGGUGUCGCUGAUGGAUGGACCCGCGGUGCAUUAGCUAGUUGGUGAGGUAACGGCUCACCAAGGCCACGAUGCAUAGCCGACCUGAGAGGGUGAUCGGCCACACUGGGACUGAGACACGGCCCAGACUCCUACGGGAGGCAGCAGUAGGGAGUCUUCGGCAAUGGACGAAAGUCUGACCGAGCAACGCCGCGUGAGUGAAGAAGGUUUUCGGAUCGUAAAACUCUGUUGUUAGAGAAGAACAAGGACGUUAGUAACUGAACGUCCCCUGACGGUAUCUAACCAGAAAGCCACGGCUAACUACGUGCCAGCAGCCGCGGUAAUACGUAGGUGGCAAGCGUUGUCCGGAUUUAUUGGGCGUAAAGCGAGCGCAGGCGGUUUCUUAAGUCUGAUGUGAAAGCCCCCGGCUCAACCGGGGAGGGUCAUUGGAAACUGGGAGACUUGAGUGCAGAAGAGGAGAGUGGAAUUCCAUGUGUAGCGGUGAAAUGCGUAGAUAUAUGGAGGAACACCAGUGGCGAAGGCGGCUCUCUGGUCUGUAACU